rnacentral:lncRNA from 1 species
CUCUCUCUCUCUCUCUCUCUGUGUGUGUGUGUGUGUGUGUGUGUGCCCUCCAGGCAGAAGUGUAUGUGUACCACAUUUCCUUUAUCCAGUCCACCCUUGAUGGGCAUUUAGGUUGAUUCUAGGUCUUUACUAUUAUGAAUAUGCCGUGAUGAACACAGACAUACAUGCAUCUUUAUAGUAGAAUGAUUUGUACAUUAUCAUCAACGUCAUCAUUGUCACCAUUCAUCGUCAUGACCUCCUGAUGUCUCUGGAAAAUAUAAAAUGUGCGAAGGCACAGGGCUAUGUGUUAAGGUUACAGAGGCAUUAAGAUCUAAACUCUGCAUUCAAGGAACUUAAAUAGAAUUAUUGCUUUUUAUUUCUUUAUUUGUUCAUCUGUUUGUAUUUUCUUUUCCUCUCCAAAAAUUAUCAUUUCAGUCAAAAAAUGGAACUAUGCAAAUUGAUUUCAUGCCUCAGAUGAAAACCUGCUGUCAAGCAAAUUACAAAAUUAAGGACACCCUUUACUUAGCCUAAUUCUCUUUAUAUUUUUUAAUGUACUAUUGAUUAUUUAAGGCAUACAUGAAAGUAAACUUGUAACUAUAAUUUAAAAACACCUCAUUACCCACAUUAAGAAAGACAAUCAGACCAAGAUAAUUGAGGCCUUCUGUAUAAACCUCAGUGGGCAUAUUCCCAACCUUUUUUUCCAGGUUUUUUGUUUUAUCAUCCCGAAGCCUUUCAUUAUACCUUGCUACAUGGGUAUUUAUCUCUAAGUGAUAUGCGGUAUUCUUUCAUA